rnacentral:rRNA from 1 species
GAGGUAGGCGGAAUGAGUAAUGUAGCGGUGAAAUGCUUAGAUAUUACUCAGAACACCGAUUGCGUAGGCAGCUUACCAAGCCGACACUGACGCUGAGGCGCGAAAGCGUGGGGAUCAAACAGGAUUAGAUACCCUGGUAGUCCACGCCGUAAACGUUGAUUACUCGUUGUUGGCGAUAUAUUGUCAGCGACUGAGCGAAAGCAUUAAGUAAUCCACCUGGGGAGUACGUCAGCAAUGAUGAAACUCAAAGGAAUUGACGGGGGCCCGCACAAGCGGAGGAACAUGUGGUUUAAUUCGAUGAUACGCGAGGAACCUUACCUGGGCUUAAAUGUAGAGUGCAUAGAGUGGAAACAUUCUUUUCCUUCGGGACCCUUUACAAGGUGCUGCAUGGUUGUCGUCAGCUCGUGCCGUGAGGUGUCGGGUUAAGUCCCAUAACGAGCGCAACCCUCAUCGCCAGUUGCCAUCACAUUAUGGUGGGGACUCUGGUGAAACUGCCGGUGCAAACCGUGAGGAAGGUGAGGAUGACGUCAAAUCAGCACGGCCCUUAUGUCCAGGGCUACACACGUGUUACAAUGGCUGGUACAACAGGCAGCUACCACGCGAGUGGAUGCUAAUCCCCAAAACCAGUCUUAGUUCGGAUCGGAGUCUGCAACCCGACUCCGUGAAGCUGGAUUCGCUAGUAAUCGCACAUCAACCAUGGU